rnacentral:rRNA from 1 species
ACUCCUACGGGAGGCAGCAGUGGGGAAUAUUGCACAAUGGGGGAAACCCUGAUGCAGCCAUGCCGCGUGUGUGAAGAAGGCCUUCGGUUGUAAGCACUUUCAGUAGGGAGGAAGGUAGUGUAGUUAACACCUGCAUUAUUUUGACGUUACCUACAGAAGAAGCACCGGCUAACUCCGUGCCAGCAGCCGCGGUAAUACGGAGGGUGCGAGCGUUAAUCGGAAUUACUGGGCGUAAAGCGCAUGCAGGCGGCCUGUUAAGUCAGAUGUGAAAGCCCGGGGCUUAACCUCGGAAUUGCAUUUGAAACUGGCAGGCUAGAGUCUUGUAGAGGGGGGUAGAAGUUUCAGGUGUAGCGGUG